rnacentral:rRNA from 1 species
UUGGUUAAGUUAGAAAGGGCGCACGGUGGAUGCCUUGGCACUAGGAGCCGAAGAAGGACGGGACUAACACCGAUAUGCUUUGGGGAGCUGUACGUAAGCGUUGAUCCAGAGAUUUCCGAAUGGGGGAACCCACUAUCUUUAGUCGGAUAGUAUCCUUACGUGAAUACAUAGCGUGAGGAAGGCAGACCCAGGGAACUGAAACAUCUAAGUACCUGGAGGAAGAGAAAGAAAAAUCGAUUUCCUGAGUAGCGGCGAGCGAAACGGAAAGAGCCCAAACCAAGAAGCUUGCUUCUUGGGGUUGUAGGACACUCUAUACGGAGUUACAAAAGAAAGUUAUAAAUGAAGCGGUCUGGAAAGGCCCGCCAAAGACGGUAACAGCCCGGUAGUUGAAAUGGCUUUCCCUCCAGAGUGGAUCCUGAGUACGGCGGAACACGUGAAAUUCCGUCGGAAUCCGGGAGGACCAUCUCCCAAGGCUAAAUACUCCCUAGUGACCGAUAGUGAACCAGUACCGUGAGGGAAAGGUGAAAAGCACCCCGGAAGGGGAGUGAAACAGUUCCUGAAACCGUGUGCCUACAAGUAGUUAGAGCCCGUUAAUGGGUGAUAGCGUGCCUUUUGUAGAAUGAACCGGCGAGUUACGAUUUGUUGCAAGGUUAAGCGGAAAAAGCGGAGCCGUAGCGAAAGCGAGUCUGAAUAGGGCGCAUAAGUAACAGGUCGUAGACCCGAAACCAGGUGAUCUACCCAUGUCCAGGAUGAAGGUAAGGUAAUACUUACUGGAGGUCCGAACCCACGCACGUUGAAAAGUGCGGGGAUGAGGUGUGGGUAGCGGAGAAAUUCCAAUCGAACUUGGAGAUAGCUGGUUCUCUCCGAAAUAGCUUUAGGGCUAGCCUCGAGGUAAAGAGUCAUGGAGGUAGAGCACUGUUUGGACUAGGGGCCCUUCUCGG